rnacentral:lncRNA from 1 species
ACAUAAAUGCUUUAUUAAUAUGAUCAUUUGAUUAUAGCAGAGUUGUAGUGUUUUUUAUAAAAUUAUUCUUGGUAGUUAUCUAAUUAUUCAUGGUUGUUAUAUUAACUUUAAUAGUUAUUGUUUUUGGAAAAAUAAUCUAGAACUCUUUUGUUGGCUAAUGAUUCUCUAACAUUUUUUUUUAAUUUUAUAGUAGUUGUAUUUUUCUUUGACAAUUUAGUUUAGGUUUUUUUACCGUGUCUGAUUGUUAAUUAAAUAUUUAUUUUCAUUAGAAUGUUGAUGAUGUGAAUGAUUUCUUUUAAUGUUGAUUGUGAUUCUAUUUUAUAAAAUAUUGUGUUAUGGUAAUCAUUAAUUAAUUGCUUUGUAUGCACUCAUUAUCAUAUUGUUGUAUGACAAAUCUUAAAGCUGUCUAAGAGAGGUUCCUGGGUUGCUCGGUGGAAAGUUCUAAAACUCGCUCAAUAUAGUAAAUUAUGGAUCAUGUGCUUUUACGCAAGAAUUAUUAGUAAAUUCAUGUACAUGAAUUCAGAGUAUAAUUCUCUAGUUGAUGACUAAGAGUUUUUAACCUUUCGCUUAAAUUUCUUUGCACCUUUUAAGCUUAUGGCCGGUUCACUGAUAUUUCUUUUGCCUAUGGAUGAUAUGAAAACCCCAACAGCCAAGAGCUAAGAAUAACGGAAGUCUUUUGAGUUUCCCUUUUAUUUUAUUUUUUUCUGGUAUUGAUGACCGAACAUAAGGAUUGAACUAUGAUGUGUUUAUCUGUAGUGGUGUUUGGAUUAGUUGAGUAUAUUAGCCUUAUCAAGUUUCUAUACUUCCUCUUAGCAAGAGCGGUUAUUGUUUCCUUCAAUUUUUUGACUGUACAGGGUUUAUCGUUUCCUUCAAUAAAAUUUGGUAUUUGUGUUCAUUCCUUUUCAGCAAGUCAUGAGUCUCUGAGAUCUCUUUUGGCAGUUGAGGAACAAGAAAGGUUAUAGAUCAGGAUAUUCUAAUUUCUCUAUACUUGAUCACCGAACAUUGAAUAGUGAUUUGUUCUUAUGCAAUAAACAUAAGGAUUUAAUUUUGAUUUGUUUCUCUACAGCAAUGUUUGGAUUUUUUCGUGUAAUGUCCUGCAUCUCAUGGAGUAUGUUAUGCGGCAUAAUAGUUGAAUUGUAAUUUGCUUCUCUGCAGUGUGAAAAUCGCUUACCGUACUGCAUCUCAUGGGGUAUGUUAUGAGUGACCGAGUCUCCCUUAAUAUUUUAAUUUAUCUAAUAGUCCUUUAUUACCUGUUAUAAUUUUGUUGAAUUAUUGUUCUUUACAGGGAUGUGUGGUAAUUAGCAAGAGCUCGGGACUAUUUGGUUUCAAUUCUUUUAUAACAAAACUUUAUUUUCUCUGCUGCUAUUAUGCACGGGUAAACUUGUGGAUUGGGAAUGCUUACCUCUUUAUGACAGGUGUAAACGUCUGUGUCAGCCAUUUAAUUUUCUCUUUCUAGUCCACACUCAGACAUUUCUUUCAGCAACUGAGUUAUUUAAUCGCAAAGAGUGUUUUGUUUCCUUUCAUAUUCUUUGUUGUCAAAACAACCUUUGUUUCUUUCUUAUCAGCUAUAGUAUUUAGUUUCACUGCGAUCUCGGGAUGUGUUAUUUGGCAGUGAUGUGGUUAUUUAUUCGAGGAUUGAUGUGUUAUUUGUAAGUGAGGUGGUUAUUCAUUCGAGGAUUGAGUUCCAUUCCCUUUGCCUUGCAUUGUUUGUGUUCAUUGCUAUCAAACAACUUUCUUCCUUUUAAAUGUAUGGAGUCUAUUUUUUUAAGAUGAAAUCCCCACUAAAUGUUAAUGUUUUAUUUUUUUCUUUCUUUUUCAUCAUGUCCUAGUUAUUUGCGUUUCUCAUAGGCUUGGUCUCAUCCCUUCGACUUGCAUUUGUUCGUGUUCAUUGCUAUUAAACAACUUUCUUUUUUUAAUGUAUGGAGCCUUUUUUGCUAUGUCUAGAUGUUGAUUUGCUUGUUUUCAUUCCGUUUUAGGUGUUGAUUUGUUUGCGUUCAUUCCUUUUUAGGUGUUGAUUUGUUUGUGUUCAUUCCUUUUUAGCAUGUGGAGACCUCAAGAAUGGUUAAGGAUUAAAAUCUGGAAGUGUUAAGAACGACCAAUAAUUCAGGAUAACCUAAUUUCAUGAGUUUCCUUUCUAUUUGUCUUUAACUGGGACUGGCUAUUUGAAUUUCUCUAGUUUUUGAAUUCCUUCAAUUCAUUAAUUCAUCUUAUGCUUUCUUAAAUUCUUGGUCUUUAUUACCAAUAUCUAUUUUGAAUUUAAAUAUAGUUCUUAAAUUUUUUAUGUCUAGGUGUGGAUUCGUUUGUGUUCAUUCCUUUUUAGCCUGUAAGACUGGUUGAGGAUUAAAAUCUGCUAGUGGACACGAAAAACAAUCCACGGAUGUGAGGUAGGAUAUCUAAAUACUGGAAGGAGAUGCUUGAUUCUGUAGGUUAUCCAUACUCUUUGAUGACAGAUGCCUACUUGAGUUUGGAUGUAGUUAUUUAUUUGAUGACAGAGAUCUAUCAUAUGUAACUUUUUGUUAGUUCCUUUUCAACAGGGGAUUCUGGUUGAGGAUUAAAAAACAUAAAUUUGAAUAUUGUUUUUGUCUGAUUAUUGAAAUAUGUCAAAUCUAGCUGUUUGAUAUGUGAAUUUCUUGAUUCUUUUUCAGCAAAUCAUAGGUUAGUAAUAAUAAAGUGCUCAGGGAAGAUGUCUCCCCUUCUUUUUGAAACUUUGUAGAUUGAGCAUAUUUUCCAGACUGAUAUAUGAGGUAGGAUGUGGAAACACUUGCCAGGGGAUGUGUGAAGCUUUAGGUUUUGUUACCCUUACAUUUCUUGUGUCUUUAUUUGUGACUGACUAGACUUCUUGUUUGGAUUCUAAUUUUUGGUUGGAUUCAUUGCUAACCUUGUAGUUUAAGUGGCAGUUCUUGUGGGUUUAGAGGUCGUGUAAUUUGGGGAGGAUUUUUGUCUGGCCGAACUUCUUAAUAUGAAAUACUGAAUUGAUAGUGAAAAAAAGAUAAAGAAAAUAUAUCAUGGCCAUUAAAAGUUUAUGUUUCUCUUCGUGUUCAGCCAUGCCACUUGCCAGUGAACUCUUGCUUCUUUCUCUAUUGUUCCACAUGCAUUUUUUCAUAAUUUUUACUCUUUUUUUUAAGUUGUCCAUCUCUAAGUAAUUUAGGCUUCUCGUAGCUUUUACCAGUCCUGGAUUCAUAGUAAAAUUUGACCCUUUUACAUGGUGCAAUUGAAAUUAAGGAGAGAAUUAUUGAUCUUUAGUUUUAUAGUACUGAAUUAAUUUUGGAUAUGCUUAGGUCUAGCAAAUUUGAAAGGUCAUUUUCUUAGUUUUUACUUCAUUUACUAAAUUAUCAAGAGUAUUGGACAAUUUGAUUUUUUAGUGUUUUGUUUGCUGCAUUGACAAAUGAAUCUUGUAUUCUAUUGUUUUUAAUAGUUUUGGAUUACAUUCUGAAUAUGGCAUAUGAUGAUCUCUUCUAUCUUCCAAAAUGCGAAGGAUCUCCAACAUUAGAGUUGUAUUUAGUUCUAUCUCCAAUGUGAGAAUGAGAAAAUUGAGAGCUCUAUUUAGUUUUAUCUCCAAUUAUCUCUGUAAUAUGAGAAUGAGAAACAACAGUAGUUGGAAUGUUUUCUUGCAAUCUUCCUGUGCUAUGAUUCAGUUCUCUCUCCAUAUACGAGAAUAAGAAAAUGAGAAAGAGAAACAAGAUUAUUUGGAAUGUUUUGUCGUAAUCUUCUUGCACUAUGAUUCGGUUCUCUCCCAAUAUGCGAAUGAGAAAAUGAGAAACAACAGGAAAGUUUUGUCGUAAUCUUCUUGCGCUAUGAUUCGGUUCUGUCCCCAAUAUGCGAAUGAGAAGAUGAGAAACAAUAGCAUAUGAGAGGUCCAUUUAGUUCUAUCUCCAAUAUGAGAAUGAGAAUCAAAUGUACAUGAGAUUUCUAUUUAGUUUGAUCUCUAAUACGAUAAAGAAGAGAAACAAAAGCAUUUGGAUUGUUCUCUUUGUAAUCUUCGUGUGCUAUGAGCAACGCCUCCCCUCGAGGCUAUGGUAACGGGUGAUGCCUCUCUAUUCCAACAUGAGAGCUCUAUAUAUUUCUUUGGGGUGGGGUAUCAAUUUAUGAUACCAUGUGGAAGCAGACACCAUCUUUUUGCCGUCUAUAUUUCUCAGCUCUUGCUGAACUUAGUUUUCUUGAAUUGCCAUGCUUCUUUUUAAACUUUUACAGUAAGGCAAUAGAUAUGUGGGGGCAGGUUUUGGAAACAGUGUAUGGAGAUCUGGUGAAACUUACUGUGAAGCUUUAGGUUUUAUUAUGUUUCCAUUCACUAUCUUAUGUGCUUGAUUUGAAAUGGCUGUAUUCUCUCUUAUUGGUUUAAUAGUAGGAAGCUACACGUGUCAGUCAUUGUGUGUCUAAGCUAGGGCGAUUCUUAAUUAUGCUUAUCCUUGAUCUCAUGAUCCCAACUAUCUUCCAAAAUGAGAAUGUUCUCCAUAAUGACAGUAAUAUUUAGUUAUAUUUCCAAUAUGAGAAUGAAAAACUAUCUCUCAAGGCUACGAGUGACCUAUUCCAAAAGGAAAGCUCCAACAUGACAGCUCUAUUUACUUCUUUCAGGUUGGGGUCUCAGUAUUUGUGAUAGGAUAUGGAAGCAGACUGUAUCUUAUUGCUAACUAUAUUUCUCAAUCUUAGUGCCUUGUUGAUUUUGGUCUUUAUUAUUUAAUGUUUUUGAACUUGAUCACCUAACAUAUGGGCUGAACUGUUGUUUAUCUACAAUAGUAUUUCAAAGUGUUUUUGUAAUCUUCUUCGUGCUCUUGGUUUUGAAUUUGUGGCUUCCCUUGAUAAUUUAGAUUUGUGAAUUUAUGUUAUUGUUUUUGUACUUUGUCAUGUCAUCUUUUUAAGAAGAUUAGUUUUCUCAAAUCGCCACGAGUCUUCUUGAGCUUUGCCACGAGUAUUCUUGAGCUUUUACAUGAAGGAUGUAGGGGUCAGGUUUUGGAAAUAAUGGAUGGAGAUACAGUUAAACUUUAGGCUUUAUUAUCUUUGCAUUUAUUAUGCUGAUAAAAAAACAUCUUUGCAUUCAUUAUUUUCUUUGUUGUUAUUCCUUUUGCUACUCUUGUAGAGUUGGAGUUCUUGUAAUUGGGCAUUUGACUUUGAUGAUUUGAUUAUCUUUUACUUGUGUUGUAGUGAACUUUGAGCUUUGCCAUUAGUCUUCUUGACCUUUGCCAUGAGUGUUCUUGACCUUUGCCACGAGUUUUCUUGAGCUUUGCCAUAAGACUUUUUGAGCUUUGCCAUGAGUCUUCUUGUGCUUUGCCAAGAGUCUUCUUGAACUUUUCCAUCAUGAGUCUUCUUGAGCUUUGUCAUGAGACUUAUUGAGCUUUGCCAUGAGACUUAUUGAGCUCUGCCAUGAGACUUAUUGAGCUCUGCUAUCUAGUACUUCUUGAGCUUUGCCAUGUAGUACUUCGUGUAGCUGCCUAUUGAGUUCUUCUUGUAGCUUUAGCCCUUGAGUUCUUCUUGUAGCUUUGCCUAUGUAGACUUAUUGAGCUUUGCCACGAGUUUUCUUGAGCUUUGCCACGAGUCUUCUUGAGCUUUGCCAUGAGUCUUCUUGUGCUUUGCCAUGAGUCUUCUUGAGCUUUGCCAUCAUGAGUCUUCUUGAGCUUUGCCAUCAUGAGUCUUCUUGAGCUUUGCCAUGAGACUUCUUCAGCUUUUCCAUGAGACUUCUUGAGAUUUUCCAUGAGACUUAUUGAGCUUUGCUAUCAGACUUCUUGAGCUUUGCCAUGAGUCUUCGUGAGCUGCCAUGAGUCUUCUUGAGCUUUGCCCUGAGUCUUCUUGUGCUUUGCCAUGAGACUUCUUGAGCUUUGCCAUGAGAUUUCUUGAGUUUUGCCAUGACUCUUGUUCAGCUUUGCCAUGAGUCUUCGUGAGCUUUGCCAUGAGUCUUGUGCUUUGCCAUAAGUCUUCUUGAGCAUUUACAUGAAGGAUGUAGGGUUUAGGUUUUGGAAACAGCGGAUGGAGUUACAGUUAAAGUUUAGAUUUUAUUAUCUUUGCAUUCAUUAUGCUGAUAAAAAAAAUCUUUGCAUUCAUUAUUUUCUUUGUUGUUAUUGUUUUUGAUACUCUUGUGGAAUGGGAGUUCUUGUAAUUGGGCCUUUGACUUUGAUGAUUUGAUUAUCUUCUACUUGUGUUGUAGUGAAAUUUGAGCUUUGCCAUGAGUCUUCUUGAGCUUUGCCAUGAAUUUUCUUGAGCUUUUACAUGUAGGAUGUAGGGGUCAGGUUUUGGAAAUAGCAGAUGGAGAUACAGUUAAAGUUUAGGUUUUAUUAUCUUUGCAUUUAUUAUGCUGAUAAAAAAAAAUUUGCAUUCAUUAUUUGCUUUUCUGUUAUUCUUUUUCCUACUCUUGUGGAGUGGGAGUUCUUGUAAUUGGGCCUUUGACUUUGAUGAUCUGAUUAUCUUUUUCUACUUGUGUUGGAAUGAACACUUACCAUGGAAGCUUCAGGUUUUAUUACUUUUCUACUCACUAUUUUUCUUAUGUGCUCGAUUUGGAAUGUCUACAGUUUCUCUUAUUGGCUGGAUAGUUGGAAGGUAUUUCAUUGUAUGUAUCUAAGCAAGUGAUACGUCUAGGUCCUCCAUCAUCUACCCUUAUUGAUUAUAGUUUUCUUGAAUUCAUUGCCACGAGUUUUCUUGAGCUUUUCCAUCAUACUUCUUGAGCUUUGCCAUGAGUCUUCUUGUGCUUUGCCAUGAGUCUUCUUGUGCUUUUCCACGAGUCUUCUUGAGCUUUACCAUCACGAGUCUUCUUGAGCUUUGCCAUCAUGAGUCUUCUUUAGCUUUGCCAUGAGACUUAUUGAGCUUUGCCAUGAGACUUAUUGAGCUUUGCUAUCAGACUUCUUGAGCUUUGCCAUGAGACUUCGUGAGCUUUGCCAUGAGUCUUGUUCAGCUUUGCCAUGAGUCUUCGUGAGCUUUGCCAUGAGUCUUCUUGUGUUUUGCCAUAAGUCUUCUUGAGCUUUUACAUGAAGGAUGAAGGGUUCAGGUUUUGGAAACAGCGGAUGGAGUUACAGUUAAAGUUUAGAUUUUAUUAUCUUUGCAUUCAUUAUUUUCUUUGUUGUUAUUCUUUUUGCUACUCUUGUGGAGUGGGAGUUCUUGUAAUUGGGCCUUUGACUUUGAUGAUUUGACUAUCUUCUACUUGUGUUGUAGUGAACUUUGAGCUUUGCCAUGAGUCUUCUUGAGCUUUGCCAUGAUACUUGUUGAGCUUUGCAAUGAGUCUUCUUGAGCUUUGCCAUGAAUCUUCUUGAGCUUUUACAUGAAGGAUGUAGGGGUCAGGUUUUGGAAACAGCAGAUGGAGAUACAGUUAAAGUUUAGGUUUUAUUAUCUUUGCAUUUAUUAUGCUGAUAAAAGAAAAAAUUGCAUUCAUUAUUUGCUUUUCUGUUAUUCUUUUUGCUAGUCUUGUGGACUGGGAGUUCUUGUAAUUGGGCCUUUGACUUUGAUGGUCUGAUUAUCUUUUUCUACUUGUGUUGGAAUGAACACUUACCAUGGAAGCUUCAGGUUUUAUUACUUUUCUACUCACUAUUUUUCUUAUGUGCUCGAUUUGGAAUGUCUACAGUUUCUCUUAUUGGCUGGAUAGUUGGAAGGUAUUUCAUUGUAUGUAUCUAAGCAGGAGUGAUACGUCUAGGUCCUCCAUCAUCUACCCUUAUUGAUUAUAGUUUUCUUGAAUUCAUUGGCCUUACAGGAAAACUAAGCAAUGAAGUGUGGUGUAGGAUGUAAAAAUGGUGGGUGGAAAUUCUUUGAUCGGUGAAGCUAAAUGUUUUUUUCACCAGGACAUUGUUGUGUUCAUCUGAAUUAAUUUUUAACUGGCACAACUUGUCAGUUUGAUUAUAAUUUUGGUUGUAACUUGUUGGUUUGAUUAUAAUCUUGGUUGUAUUUUGAUAAUGUAUGGUUUGUGGGAUGAGCAUCAGACAACUGCGGUUGGGCUUUGAUCUUUGAUUUGAUGGUUUGCUUCUUGGUUUGAGAAGUUCUACUAUUUAAUUUUGUUGACUUCUAUGCAUAAUUCUAUAAUAUAGGUGUUUUGUUCUUUUAAUAGUUUUCCAAAACCUUUCGAUUCAUUAUUCUUGAUCCCAAACAUAUGGGUUGAGUUGUGAACUUCUUUGGAAUUUUUGCAUGUAACUCUUACGCUGAAAUUUUUGAAAUUAGUAUAAGAAUGAUCCUGAAAUUGAAAUUGUUUAAAUGCUUCACUUUUGCAUCAACAAUCUCCAUAUGUGUUUCACGUUCCUCGAUUUUUGAAAUUUGCAUUUUUUUGUUUGCAACACAUUGAGUCUUUAUCUGAGGUUUCUCUUUCAGUUUAUUAACUCAACCAGUGAUGGAAUAUAGUGGGACGACUAACAUGUCUAAUCAACCCGUUACAGAUUUUUUUUUCUUUUUUUCCUUUAUUGUUUAUUGAGUUGAGUGUUUUCAAAAUAUUUUUGUAACCACUUGGGAUUGAAAGUCCAACGUUAUGCCUGGCAUUAGAUAAUUGGACUUCUUUUAUUAGUUAUCCAAACCGUUCAUUUUUUUCAUAUUUGUUCUAUUUGGACAGGAAUUGUAUGCGAGAAAGAUAAUGGAGUUUUGGAGGUGAAUUUGUUUCAUAUUUGUUCUAUUUGGACAGGAAUUGUAUGUGAGAAAGAAAAUGAAGUUUUAGAGGUGAAUUUGUUAAUUCCAGUUAAAACGAAGAACUCUUGAUAAAGUAAUUUUCUUUGUUAUUCUAUUUCUCUAUCCAAUCCAGUUGUUGCAUUAAUCCCUUUUCAGCAUACAGAACUGUGACCGAUUUUAAGUUUGUAUGCAACGACGUUUUUUGAAAUUGUGUCACAAACUUAUUAUUAGGACUUAUUACCUUGGUUUUAUCUGAUCAUUCUGGACGUGCUAUAUUCUUUUGUGGGUUUUUGUUUGGUUUCAAUUUUCAGUAAUGUUUGAUAAUUGGAUUUUUUUGUUUGCAUAUCAGAAACUGAACCAAUCUCAAGGCAUUAAGUUUCUAUAGUUGGAGUAGUAUGAGACAACUUUGUUUCUCUGAAAUUUAGAUAGUCUCUAUAAUAUUGCAUGGUAGUUUUUUUUAUACGAUGUACAAGUAUAUCCAGUUUUAUUUGGAUAUUUUUUAACAACAAUGUUUUUUGGAAUAUGAUUGCUUGAGUGCUACCAUGUGAAAGUUCAACUUAAAACGACUACAACUCAUAAUAGCCUAAUUUCUUCUAUAUGAGGUUUCACCUUUUAUUUAACUUCUAAGGUCUUGAUAACCAACAUUAGGAUUGAAUUGUGAUUUGUUUUUCUACCGUGGUUUAUGAUUGGAUUCAAACAAUGUCUGGUUCUCAUCGAGCCUUUAAUGAGUUGGUUUCUAAGUUUAAGAAAUCGUCUAAUAUUUUCUAAAAUUCCUCCCUUGGAACAAGUGUUUUUAGUUUUCUUGAAUUUUUGCUCUUUACAGUUAAGACAUGCAAUGGAUGUGUGAGGACAUGUAGAAACAUGGGAUCAAUUGAAGUCUUAGUUUGUGUUAAUUGGUUUAGGAUUUCCUCUCUAUUUGAUAUUUUCAGAUUUGAUCACCAAAUAUAAGGAUUUUCCGUUGUCAUUUGUUUCUCUGCAGUGAUGUUUGCAUUAUGUUUCAUGCUACGUCUAAUGUAUCAUGUUGUCUGGAAGUUUUUAUGGCUCUUGGUAACAGGCUUUACAAGGGUUUCAGAGGAUCAGUAAUUUCAGAGGUGAUACCUAUUAUCAUAAUUGUGUCUUGCAGUGUGAAUUGUUCAAGUUUAUUCAUUUGCAUAAGGGAUCAGUUAUUCAUUCAUUUUUGCAGAAGAUUAGAUGGCUAACAUUAUUGUCUGUUCAUUUGAUCCAGUAGAGCCCAUUCUAGAAAUGUGAACUCCUCUUUUUUGUUGAUUUUUAGAUUUGGAAUUGUUCAAGUACCAACAGCAUGAUUUCAUGGUCUCUUAUGAUUUCCCCUGAAUUCUUGGUUGUUGUUUUGACCGGGUAGGGUUUGGGUAGAGUUUUGGUUUUUGGAUUAGGAAUUGUCCAACUACCAACCAUGUGUGUACAAGUUUAAAAUAUAUGAUGUGUUUGUCAGAUAUUUUUUUGGGAUAUAUAUAUAUAUAUAUAUAUAUAUUUAGUUGCUAGUUUUAUUUAUUGAAUUACAUAAAUGCUUUAUUAAUUUGAUCAUUUGAUUAUAGCAGAGUUGUAGUGGUUUUUAUAAAAUUAUUCUUGGUAGUUAUAUAAUUAUUCAUGGUUGUUAUAUUACCUUUAAUAGUUAUUGUUCUUGGAAAAAUAAUCUAGAAGUCCUUUGUUGACUAAUGAUUCUCUAACAUUUUUUUAAAUUUUAUAGUAGUUGUACUUUGCUUUGACAAUUUAGUUUAGUUUUUUUUAUUGACUCUGAUUGUUAAUUAAAUAUUUAUUUUCAUUAGAAUGUUGAUGAUGUGAAUGAUUUGUUUUAAUGUUGAUUGUGAUUCUAUUUUAUAAAAUAUUGUGUUAUGGUAAUCAUUAAUUAAUUGCAUUGUAUGCACUCAUUUAUCAUAUUGUUGUAUGACAAAUCUUAAAGCCCUGUAUGAGAAAGGUUCCUGGGUUGCUCUGUGGAAAGUUCUAAAACUCGCUCACAAUAGUAAAUUAUGGAUCAUGUGCUUUUACGCAAGAAUUAUUAGUAAAUUCAUGUACAUGAAUUCUUAGUAUAGUUCAUCUAGUUGAUGAUGACGAGUUUUUAACCUUUCGCUUAAAUUUGUUUGCACUUUUAAGCUGGUUGGUUCACUGAUAAUUCUUUUGCCUAUGGAUGGUAUGAAAACCCCAACAGCCACGGGCUCAGCAUAACGAAAGUCUUUUGAGUUUCCCUUUUAUUAUUAUUUUUUUUCUGGUAUUGAUGACCGAAAAUAAGGAUUGAACUAUGAUGUGUUUAUCUGCAGUGGUGUUUGGAUUAGUUGGGUAUAUUCGUCUUAUCAAGUUUCUAUACUUUCUCAUAGCAAGAGGGUUUAUCGUUUCCUUCAAUAAAAUUUGGUAUUCGUGUUCAUUCCUUUUCAGCAAGUCAUGAGUCUGAGAUUUCUUUUGGCGGUUGAGGAACAAGAAUGGUUUUACAGGAGAUCUAAUUUCUCUAUACUUUAUCACCAACAUUGAAUAGUGAUUUGUUCUUAUGCAGUACACAUAAGGAUUUAAUUUUGAUUUGUUUCUCUACAACAAUGUUUUGAUUUUUUCGUAUAAUGUCCUGCAUCUCAUGGAGUAUGUUAUGCGGCAUAAUAGUUGAAUUGUAAUUUGCUUCUCUGCAGUGUGAAAAUCGCUUACCGUACUGCAUCUCAUGAAUUGUUCUUUACAGGGAUGUGUGGUAAUUAGCAAGAGCUCAGGACUAUUUGGUUUCAAUUUUUAUAUAACAAAACUUUAUUUUGUCUUUAAUAGUUUCCUUCAUUGAAAAAUUGAAUUUUGAACUUGGUUCUUGUAAAGCAUCAAUGUCGUUGCCUAAUUUGUGUUUCAAGAUUAUUGAUCUUUCGUAUUGAAGUUCUGAAAAUUUUAUUUUUUUCUUAGGUGGAGCAGUAUUGAAAAGAUGUUAUUCCAUUCAUUUUAGUAGUGUAAUUAGCAAGAGCGCAGGACUAUUUGCCUCCAUUCUUUGAUUAUAGAAGUUUUUAUUUUGUUUGUUUCCUGCAUCUACAAAUGAAUUUUGAACUUGUUCUUGCAUAAUUUAUCAUUGGGAGAAAAUGAAUUGGUGGUGUAGGUUUGGGAAACAGUGGAUAAACACCUGUGGAAAUUUAGGUUUUAUUCUGUGUUUAUUAUUAUAAUGCUUACCUCUUUAUGAUAGGCACUGUAAACGUCUGUGUCAGCCAUUUAAUUUUCUCUUUCUUGUCCAUACUCAGACAUUUCUACCAGCAACUGAGUCAUUUAAUCGCAAAGAGAGUUUUGAGUAUAAUUCUCUAUUUGAGUAUAAUGAGUUUUAUACCUUUUGCGUAAAUUUCUUUUCAGCUGGUGGCUGGUUUUUUGGCAUUUCUUUUACGUAUGGAUUAUAUGAAAAGCUCAACGACCAAGGGCUCAACAUAACUUUAAGUCCUUUUUGAGUUUCCCUUCUAUUAUUUUCUUUAUGGUAUUACAUAAGGACUGAACUAUGAUUUGAUUUGUUUAUAUGCAGUGGUGUUUGGAUUAGUUGCGUAACGUGUCUUAUUUUCAUCGUAUCAAGUUUCUGUACUUAGUAAAUUCAUUUUGGUGAAUUUUGAGUAUAAUUCUCUAUUUGAGGAUGACGAGUUUUAUCCUUUUGCAUAAAUUUCUUUUCACCUUUUGAGUUGGUGGCUGGUUCUCUGGCAUUUCUUUUGGCUAUAGAUGAUAUGAAAAGCACAACGACCAAGGGGCUCGACAUAACCUAAGUCUUUUUUGUGUUUUCCUUCUAUUUUUCUUUAUCCUGGUAUUGAUCACAGUUCAUAAGGAUAUGAUUUGUUUAUCUGCAGUGGUGUUUGAAUUAGUUACGACGCAUAUUCGUCUUAUAAGUUUCUAUAACUAGUAAAUUCAUUUACGUGAAUUUUGAGUAUAAUUCUCUGUUUGAGUAUUACGAGUUUUAAACCUUUUGCGUAAAUUUCUUUUCAGCUCGUGGCUGUUUUUUUGGCAUUUCUUUUGCCAAUAUGAAAAGCACAACGACCAAGGGGUCGACAUAACCUUAACUCCUUUUUGAGUUUCCCUUCGAUUAUUUCCUUUAUGAUAUUACAUAAGGAUUUAACUAUGAUUUCUUUAUCUGCAGUGGUGUUUGGAUUAGUUGGGUAACGACGCAUAUUCAUCUUACAAGUUUCUAUAACUAUUAAAUUCAUUUACGUAAAUUUUGAGUAUAAUUCUCUGUUUGAGUAUUAGGAGUUUUAAACCUUUUGGGUAAAUUUCUUUUCAGCUGGUUUUUGGCAUUUCUUUUGCCUGUGGAUGAUAUGAAAAACACAAUGACCAAGGGCUCCACAUAACCAUAAGUCUGUUUUGAGUUUCCCUUCUAUUAUUUUUUUUAUGGUAUUACAUAAGGAUUGAACUAUGAUUUGUUUAUCUGCAGUGGUGUUGUAUUGUAUUAUUGUUCUUUAGGGAUGUGUGGGGUUAUAGUUUUGUUGAAUUAUUGUUCUUUACAGGGAUGUGUUCUUUACACUAGUUUUUUCUAUUGCAUUAGUUUGUAUUUGGCUAAACUUGGUUCGAUUUUUAUUUUUUUCUUCUUAGGCAUAACCAAAUAAAUAUUGGAGGGCCAAUGAAUGUCUUAUUUUAACAUAUGAUCACGACAAAUGGAUUGAAUUAUGAUCAUGUCUCUUGGCAGCUUGAUUUUAUGAGCCGUGUCUCUAUGCACUGUGACCUUAGGCACUUUGGUGGUCUCAGGCCUAGAUAAAUUGAAAAGAAGUAUCUUGGAGUCAUUCCCUUCAUUUUAGUAGUGGUACUUAGCAAGAGCUCAUGACUAUUUGGCUUCAAUUUUUUUAUUACAAAACUUUAUUUUGUCUUUAUUACUUUCCUUUUUUUGACAAAUGAAUUUUCAAAAACAGUGAAUGGAGGUCCAGUGAAACUUUAGGUUUUAUUACCUUUGUAUUCAUUAUUAUUUUCUUUGCAGUUAUUCUUUUGGCUAAACUUGUGGCUAAAGAUGUAGAGUGGCAGUUAUUCAUUUUUGCAGUUAUAUGAGUAUGAUAGGCUUUGACAUUUGUUUUAUUGUGCCUUCGAUUAUCUUCUUCUACUUGGGUUGCGGUGACUUACUAUGAGCGACUCCCAUGGUUUUCAAUUUGUGAAUUUACCUUAACUUUUCUCUACUUUGUCAUGUCAUGCUUUUAAGAAAAUUAGUUUUCUCAAAUCCCCAUGCUUCUGGUUGAGCUUUUACAGGAAGACUAUAGAUAUAUGGGACAGGUUUCGGAAAGAAUUAAUGGACUUUACAGGGAAUUCAUGGGGGCUACCCAGAAUGAGGUGUGGUAUGUGCAAAUGGUGGGUGGAAAUUAUGUGAUAUGUGAAGAUAAAUGUUUCUAUUAACAGUACAUUGUGGUAUCUGAAUUAAUUUUUAACUGGCUCAACUUGUUGGUUUUGAUUAUUAUUUUGGUUGUAUUUUGAUGGUGUAUGGUUCAUAAGAGGCAUUGUGGGAUGAGCAUGGGACAAGUGCGGUUGGACUUUAUUAUUUGAUUUGAUAGUUUGUUUCUUGGUUUGAACAGAUCUGUUACUCAAUUUUGACGCCUUUUGGAUAAUCCUCUGAUACAGGUCUUUGCCUCUUUAUUAGUUUUUCAAACCUUUUUGAUUCAUUAUUCUUGAUCGCUAAGCAUAUGGGUUGAGUUGUGAAAAAAGUCCAUUAAUCUUUGUGAUGAUGGCGAGUUUUGAAUCUUUUGAUCAAAUACCUUUAUCCCUUUUCUACUGGUGGCUGGGUGUUGGGGUCUUGAGAUUUGUUUUGUCUAUGGAUGAAAUGAAAAACAUAAUAGUUCAGAAAGGCCAAUUGAUCC